rnacentral:lncRNA from 1 species
AUGCAUUGUUGCUCCUGUACCAAAGUGUUAUUGAAUAGAGUAAUGUGGCACUUGAAAACAUGGUAGUUUGCAGUUACUCAGUACUACGCAUACGUACAUGUUCACCCAGUUGUGUAAAUAAUGCCAGAAGUUUUAUUACGUGCAAAGAACUGUUACUGAGACCUCAGCUCUUGAGAAUCAACUGCCAUUCUAACAUCUUCCUACAACACUGAAAUCCCAGUUUUCUGAAGUGAAAUAUGCUAAGCAUUUCUCCAAGUGGUGGUUGCAUGAGGCAAGACAGGAGGAUGAACAAACUGAAGUACAAAAGAACAAAGCAGUGCACCCACAAACACCACCAGGCACCUGGCGAAACUAGAAAUAGAUUAAAUAUUUCUGGAGUACUAGUGCAGCACUCUGCUCAUUAGCAAGGCAGUCUACUUUCCCAUGAGGCAUCUCAAAAUUGCCCUAUGACUACUGUUUGGUUUUAACUCCUCCCUUGGAUAGGUCACAAGGACAAGUGACUUGGGUUGUGCCAAGACCUGAAAUGGGAGACUGGUGUAAAUGGCAGAUAGCCAGCAGCAAGGAGACAUCUGGGAUAAGACAAGGCGCUAAGGUUCUGUUGAGUGAAUGAGUGACUGGGUAGGAACUUGGCUGGUAACCGAGGCAAAUCCACCAUAAGCCACUAUCUGCAUAGCCCACUGUCAAAACUCAGGGCUGCUUGUGAGAUUCUUUCAUAUGCUCUGCAACCAUGCCACUGGCUAUUUGAAUCUGUGGACAACUGUGAUAGCCCCCUCAGAAAAGAAAACUAAAAUAGACCUCUGCUCCUUGGGGAGCUGAUAGCCAGUACCUGCUCAACUGGAAAGAAAACAAUUUUGGAAAAGCAGUCUUGUGGUAAGUGAGUCCAUGCUGGAGGACAGAUGGACUAUGCAAUCAUGAGCCAGAACUUUUAAUAAAUUCUGUAAUGUUUAAGAAUUUCUGUACAUUUUUUAACAUGUCAAAUUAAAGCCAUUGUCUUCACAGAAAAUUAUCAGAGUAAAGCAUAUUCUUCCCAGAACGUAUGCAUUGGAGAUAGUGUUUCCUGAAAGAGUAUGUUCAACAAUAAUUACCAAAAGCAUAAUUCCCUGCUUUCUUGGAACAAGACAGUGCUGGAAAGAAACCAGUGUGGCCUCAACAUUCCUGGUACAUCCCAUUUUCAUUCUGAAAAUUUCUGCCAUUAGUUAGAUUAUACAGCUUCUUAGUAUACAUAAAUGCUUAUUUGCAACCUGUUGUCAAUAAAAUAAGUCAAGCACUCUUUUCACAUAUUACACUUUGUACUAGAGAAGAUAUACAAAGCAGG